rnacentral:rRNA from 1 species
UACGUAGGGUGCGAGCGUUAAUCGGAAUUACUGGGCGUAAAGCGUGCGUAGGCGGUUUCAUAAGCUUGAUGUGAAAGCCCCGGGCUCAACCUGGGAAUGGCAUUGAGGACUGUGGAGCUAGAGUGCGGCAGAGGGAGGUGGAAUUCCACGUGUAGCAGUGAAAUGCGUAGAGAUGUGGAGGAACACCGAUGGCGAAGGCAGCCUCCUGGGCCGACACUGACGCUGAGACGCGAAAGCGUGGGGAGCAAACAGG